CGAGCUCCUCCUCCUUCCCGCUCCAUAUCUCCUCUCUCUCUCUCCUUCCUUUUUCUCCUUCUGGCUCUCGAAGGGGAAACUUGAUGGCCAGUCCUUUGCCACGUCGAGCCUCCAGCCAGUCCAUCUUGCUCGCUACCGGAGUGGCUUUUCAGCCCUGGGAAGCUUUAGGUAGACGAAUCCAAAUGACGCAGAAGCUGCUUCUGAAGACAAUCUGGCCUGGUUUCACCUCAACACCGUGGCAGCGUUGAAUGAAAGGACGUCUAGAGAUGAGUUGGGGCUAACCAGUCAAGAAGGAGAGAAAACAAACUUCAGCCAAGCAGAGACAUCACUGAAAAGAUGUGUGGAAGAGAAGAGAGACUGGCCAGUCGCAGCCCGCACAAUCAGCCUCAUCAGCACAUUGUGGCCAGCACACUCUGAGCAGGAGGAGCUGGACUCCAGAGUCUGGUACUGGAAUCACACAUCCUCCAGCCGCCCAGCCCGCCUGCCCAGUGUUCAGACUACCUGUUCAGGAAGUAGUGGUUGUACAGUAGUCUGCACAUUGGUUAGGCUGGCCGGGGAAGCACUGGCCGACUCAAGGUGUCCGACAGAAGAGAGGGUGAGAGCGCUCCACAGGGGCAUCCAGCAGGCACAAGCGUGUCAGGCUUGAUGACACACAGCACCACCCCUCCUCCAUCUGGACAAGCCCAGUGACAAGCCUAAAAAAAGCACCCAAAGGCUUUACCACAGAGGACUGUCCCUCGCCUAUCCAGGAUUUAUGAGUGAGGGAUGCAAAAGUCCCAAACUUUAUUCUGCUGUCUGUAGUGUUUUUUGCAUUGUUUGAUUUGUCGCUGAAGAUUGAAAGCUGAUGAAGAUAAAAUUGUAAAAAAAAAAAAAAAAGAAAGAAAAAAAAAGAAAAAAAAGUUAAAAAAAAGUUUGAAAUAGUUGAAAUAAAAGUGAUUGGAGAUCUAUUUGACGGUAUUGUAUUUUUCUUUUCUCAAGGAAGUAACGCAGGGGUUAAACAGUCACGAAAAUUAAACAAAUACUAUUUAAAAAUGGGAUACCCCAACGUAUAGAUUUACUCUCACACAGGUGAUGGCUGCAUGACAUUGUCAGCAUGCUGGGUUAUUUUUAUUUCUGCAAAACCGAAAAGUCCAACCGAGAGGCGAAGCCAGAAAAAGUUCAACCGCACCAAAAAAAUGAACGCUUACACAAAAAGAUAACUAAAACACACAGUAAACCCCCAGCGUCGAGAUGUGCUCUUGACCAAAAUGUACAAUUACGUCUCUGCCUUUCCUGCAUCAACUUGUGGCUGCUUUACCUCAAAUGACCAUGUAAUGUGCAGAGAGAGGCAGGAAGCCACCAUACAAAAAUGUUGAAAGAGCAGCCAGUCUGUCAUUGUCUAUUUGCCAUUUUUACCAGCCUUUGUAUAGCCCUCCCAAAAAAAGACAGACAAUUUUUGUGGCUUUAAUGUUUGUAGGUGACAUCAUGUGAAACGCUACAAGUUUAGCUUAGACCCCCUCCCGUCCCCCCUAAGUCUCAUUUUCCAUUAUGUUUUCUUUUCUACCUUCACCGGGGCCACAGUUUGUCUCCCAGCGUGCCUGUCUUUGAUAAAGCAAAGCCACAGCGCGCCAUUUUGAACUCCCUCGCCCUCUCGAGUACACAAAAGCAAAGUAGAGGGCAGAAACAUUCACACGGUGUCCCAUCACAGAGCAUCGUCUGCAGGAAUGAAAACCGCAAACCAACCUGUUUCCAUUUAGAGCCCUGCCACCAUGUCGCAGCCCCAGGAACGUGCACACAGAAGUGCACAAACACUACACACACACACACACACACACACACAGUAUAGCAGCAUGUUUCUUGUGAGUGUGUUGAAAGCAGCAGUCUGCUGUUUCCCCCCAGGAUGUUUACAGCUGGGAUCACCAGGCAAGUCUGGCUGUCUGGCAGCUUUACAGCAGAAGUAGGGAAACCCAGGCACACACACCCAUACACACUCACACUCACACACACAAGGAGGCAAAAGGGGACAUACAUCCUACAGACACUGACGGAUCUUAUCUGUGUGUGUCUCUGUGUGUCAAAGUCAAAAUGUCCCUGUGUAAACGCACAAAUUUGAUAAUAAGAAUAUAUGAACGUCCCUUCUGCUGGAAGUCAAUAAAAUCACAGUCAUGUGGG